rnacentral:ncRNA from 2 species
GGCCAAUGUUCAGCCGAUGGUGUCCCGCAAGGGAUGAAAAGGGAAGAACGGUGCGCGGCCCAAACCGCCAGUCCGUCGCUGCCCCCGCAACUGUAAGUGCGUGAAACCAUUACCCUGUGAAGCCCCCUUGGGCGGGUCUCACACACCACCGGGCCAUCCGUCUGGGAAGGGGGGUAAUGUUGCCAGCCGCCCAAACCCAGAUGGGUCGGGCGUGUCUGGCCCGGCACAAGCCAGGAGACCUGCCAUCAGCAUGAUGUGUGA